rnacentral:tRNA from 6 species
GUCCCCGUAGCUCAGUGGAUAGAGCAACCGCCUCCUAAGCGGUAGGUCGCAGGUUCAACUCCCGCCGGGGACACCA